rnacentral:lncRNA from 1 species
UUUGAAGAAGACACGGGGGAAAUUUUAUAGGAUGGCAGUGAGACCGACUAUUGUAAAUGGAACAGAGUGUUGGGCUAUCAAGAAGACACAGACGCGUCAGCUGUAGGUAGCAGAGAUGAGGAUGUUGCGGUGGAUGUGUAGACACAAUAGGUUGGAUAAGAUAAGAAAUGAGGUUUUUACGGUAAAAUUAGGGUUGCUAGUAUAUCUGACAAGAUAAGGGAAGGGAGUUGAGAUAGUUUGGCCAUAUUAGGAGGAGACCGACAGUGGCCACAGUUAAAACCGUGGAAACCAUUAGUGUGGAGGGAAGGAGGAGUAGAGGUAGACCAAAACUGAUUUGGGAGGAGAGGAUUAGACAGGAUUUGAUAGACUUGCACCUUUCUGAGGACAAGGUCAAGAAUAAGAGUUCUUGGAGACAUAGGAUUAAAAUUAACGACAUUUAGGAGGAUAGUUCGAUUUGGUAUUAGAUGCUCAACUUAGGGGCUUGAUUUUUCAUCUUUAUAUUGAUAGCCUAUGUGUGUUAUUGCUUGCAUUUGUGAGUUGGGGAGGGGGGUUCUCACUAGAAGCGGCCUCUCUAUCCCCUGAGAUAGAGGUAAGGAUUGCCUACAUCUCACCCUCUCGAGACCCUACCAAUAGCUUGGCUAUAGGUGGGAUUAUAUUGGGUACGAUUGUUGUUGUUGUACAGGCCUUUGAAACUAUGAUUUAUGAUUUUCUAUUUUAGUUAUACCACUUACUUUAUUUACGUACAAAGUAUUUUUUUUUUAUAUCGUAAGCUAUAGCGAGACUCGGUACUGUACCGGUAUUGUGACAAACCAAAUUGAUAUCGCCCCAACAGUAUCGGUAUCAUGUGAUUCCAACUGAACAAGAUAUUCACUUUUAUUGUUUUCCAAAGAUGUAAACAUGUGUCCAUAUCCAUUUGGGCAUAUCAUGAUUUUUUUGGGUUUUAUCUUUCGGUUACUAUAACAAUGUUAGCAAUGUUUCGAUAUGAUAAUCAACCGAACCAAUAUUGAUCGAAUUCCCCACGCAACGUACAGAUAAUUUCACUAGUUAAAUUUAUAUAAAAAAAAAUUCACUCUAAUUUCACGAGUCUUCUCAUGAAGCUUCAAACACACAAAACCUGAGUUAAUAUUUAUUUAAUUUUUCAUAAAAUUUUAGAACAAAAUAUUUGUUUUUUUAUUCUAAAAUUUCACGAUAAAAAUUUUGUAAAUGACAUUUCUGUAACUUUAAAAAAUAUUUUGUAAAUGACAUUUCUGUCCCUUUCUUUGCGAUCCCAAAUUAUAUCCCUCCCAUGCAGAAAUUAUUAAAUUAUUGAUCGAAUGAUAGGUUGAUCUUUAUUCUUUUUCACCUACCAGAAAUUAUUAAAUUAAUUUUUACCUAGCAGAAAUUAUUAAAUUAUUGAUCGAAUGAUAGGUUGAUCUUAGUCUUUUUCACCUAAUAUUUGUGUGAAUGAUUCAAAGAACCCUUAUAUUUUUGACAAUUAUACGUUUGUAUUUUAACUAGUUAUUACCCCACUCGUGUUGCAAGACACCAAGCUGAAUAUUCCUAUCUCAUGAUAUGUACGUCUGUGUUUUGGUGCUUGUACCUACUACUUAUAAAAUGUUCUCAAAAAAAUUUACAUCGAGUAAAUCAAUUAAAAUAAAACACUGCCAUGCUUUU